CCUGCUUCUCGCGGGGCCUGCUCCUGGGAGGCGAAACUCCACACUGAGGGCGCGGAGGCGGUUUCAGACCGCAGCGCCCGGGCUCCUCCUCCCGCGCUACCCAGGGAGGCGGGCUGUGCUCUUUUCAAGGUCCCGCCAAAGGGCCCCGCCCUCCCGGAGGGAGACCUAGCAGCCUUCCCUCCUACACUAGGCCGGGGACCGCCGGACCGGAAGCUGCGGGGUCUCGGGGCCCCGGUUCGUUCUCGCCUAGCCGCAAGCCGCGGGUGCGCAUGCUCCGCGAAGGCCCGCACAGGGCCCGGGUGAACCCUGAUAGAGCCAUCGCGAGGCGGGGGUUAUUGCUGGAAUGGUGGUGGUUUGGGGAACUCUUUUUUGGUGAGACGGUCAAGUGGGAAGGUGCACCCCGUUUCCAGUGGGCUCCCACUUGGUGCUGGCUUGGCUUCCUGGAAAGAGAGUGAAAAGUCAGAGCCUAAGAGCUGCCACUGAACUCCACAGCCUUCACCUUGCCUCUUCCUGUUUGGAAGACCCAGGUCCAGUUAGCGCCGUCCUGCUUCCCAACUAGGAGCCCGUCCACUGAGGACUCCUCUCCGGUUUGAGGACUUUGAGCCAUGAGCCAAAGCAGGAAACUCAGCAAUCCAGGGGCCUCUCCGAGAUGCUGAGACAGGGCCGUGGAGCCCCAAGACUGCAGUGCCCUGCUUGGAAUCUGCUGUGGGAUGAUUCUGCAACCGAUGUGAUGAUGCAACAGCUGUGCAUGAAUGACAUGAGAAAGCUGGGCCCCUUGGCCCUAAGGGAUGCUUCCACCACACUGUCAGCAGGAGGGAGCUCCUCCUAGGAGCUUAAAUCAGGACUCAUCUUUCUGUGGGACCCAAGCCUCCAUGUUGGAAGUGGAGAAAAUGGGACAUGAGGCAUUGAGCUACCUGCCCAGCACUCUAACCAGAUCUCUGACCAGGUAUCUUGUCAUCCUUCCCCAGUACCAGGGGCAGGGAGAAGGGCUCUUACCCUCAGGAAGCUCCCAGUUUCACAAAGGAGGCAAAAUUUGCUCACCAAAGAAUGGCGAAUGGAAGCAGUCUAAAGUCCAGGGCACAAGCCAAGGUCCUGUGGUUAGGGCUGAGGUGGUCAGAAGAGAGAGAUUUUAGGAGCAAGGGGAUCCAGAAGCUUUCUCUUUGAGGUCUGGAAUUGCACCAUGAUGGCCCAGAACCUGGCAUGAUUCUGCUACGCGAAAACUUACGUGUCUUCAAUUCUAGAGAUUUCUUAGCCAUUGUCUCUCUGAAGAUUGCCUCUCGUUCUUUCCAACCUCUCUUUCUGAAAUUCUGCGUGACAUAGGUUGGACCGUCUCAUUCUAUUCUUCACACCUCUCACUCUUCCCUAUUUUCCACUUAUUUACUUCUUUGUGCUGUAUUUUGGGUGAAUUCUCAGAUCUCCUUUUCUAGCUCUGUUUCUCCCACCGAGUUUGAAAUUUCAAUGAUUAUUCUUUUUAUUUUGGAAGUUCUACAGUCUGGCUUUUGAAACUCAAAAUCCAAGAAUUCUAGCCUAUUCUCUGAGCCAACAAACGCUGGAGUGGUCAAGCUCCCGCUUCCCACCUAGCAUCCUGGGACUGACGCUUCCAGCCCCCAGCAGCCUCCCUAGGUCCCCUCCAGUUAUCCCAGGGGCUAUGCGAGCACUCACAUUCUCUAUGCGUACCUCAAACUAGCUACAGGAAGUGGGCGAAGCUAGGCAGUGCAGGAAAAUAUUGGGGGAAAAGACUGGCUAAUAUUUUUAAAAAUAUUAUCUCACCAUAUAUCCCAUCCUAUGUGGUAGAUACUACUAUUGCCAUAAUUACAAUGAUCAUUAUUGGUCUACCACCUUUCCACCUAACCUUGGGAAUGUUUCCCUAUUCCUCGCUAAACCUUGGUUUCCUCACCUGAGGCUGAGCUAAUAGCUGCAUUUGACACCUGAUUCCUUUCUUCAUCAGUCCCUGAUAAUUCCCCAUAAUCUUUCUCCCUCUCCUUUUCCUGGUCCAGUGAAGGGUCUAGGCUGGCAGAGGCCUGGGUCCUGAUAACAGUGGAACAAUGACAGCAGAAGUCCCUGAGCGAGGGCGUGGGAACCAGCCGAGGUUAUGGGGAGAGGGACAGGAAAAGGGGAGCGGAAAGCCAACAGCUGGACAGGCAGACACGUCCGCCCCAGCCUUGCCCUGGAAGCUCUGCUUGGCGGUGGGUGGAAACCAGGCUGUUUCUCUUGGAUGGUCCUUCCUGGGCUAUUCAUUCAUUCAACGGCUAUUUACUGGACACCUACUAAGUGGCAGGCGCCGUGCCAGGAACAACUUUGCCCCUCGGGACUGUCCCUUCGACUUGGCAAAAAUAUUCACAACUGUGGCUUCUGGGCUCACAUCACAGUCCUGAGUAGCAGGAAGGGCUCCGAUGGACAAGGCUUUUUGACAAAUCAGAGGCCCAAGAAGGUGCCACGAGUUCUGCAAGUGUGCACAACACAGCAGCCUUCACUCCACCUUCUGCCCCCUGGCCUGGGAGAAUGAAAUCCUCCGGACAUCUUGCCUGAGGGCAGCUAAAAGAGAUUGAUUUACCACAUUUUGUGGCCUCCUCUACGCUGGGGGGAACAAUUCUUACUGUGAACACUUGUGCUGGGAGCUCCAGCUGUCUGGCAACCUUCUUCCCUACCACGUGGUCACUUUUUAAAAACAUGUGCCCCAAAUCCAUCAUGGAAAUUGCUCGACUUUCCAGUAGAAAGCCAUCGGGAACCUUUUCCGCCUUUGCCAAAGUGAGGAAAAUUUCUGAAAAGUUUGAUGAGCAAUUUUUCUUGGAAACGCCAAGCUGCAAGAUUUUUAAUCAGCCUUCACGAGCUAGCAGCUGGGUUUCCACUGGAUCCAGUCUCUUUCUGCUUGCCUGAACUUCACAGGGUAUGGAAAGCAGACCCCAGAAAUUCCUGAUUUCUUCUUGGAAGAGCAAGCCCCGUAAAAGACUCAGGGCCUUUUUGUUCUCAAGCUCUGUUGAUACUUCACGUCAUCACCAGGCCCUGCUCGAGGCCAGUGAGUCACAGGGCAAGGACGCCAUGGAUCUACCCAGAACGAACACGUUGUGGGUCACGCAAACAUAUGUGAUGCACACAUGUCCUGCACACUCACCACACCUACUUAUUCUGAUGUCCACUAUAUACAACAGGCACGCUUCACACACCCCGCACACCACUGACACAGAACACAAACUAUGCUCUACAGUCACAACUGCCGUACAGGACACACCGAAUACACACACACACGCUCAUGCCACACCUCCACUACACGAAUAUGCCUCGUGCGUUAACAUGUAUUAUAUACAUACAACAUAUUCACAAACAUACACAACAUUCCCAAACACACACAGAUACACAUGCAUUUCCCAAACACAUCCUAUUUUCUGAUUAAAGCUCUCAAGAUUUUAGUUUCCGUUUAAACCCAAUUAUAUGACUCAUCAACUUCCUUUGGCCUGUCCUUUUCUUUCUUGACAAUUUUUAUGGAUUUUUUUCUGUUUCAGCAAAAAACAAACAAAGCAACAACAACAACAAAAUUUUCCUUCUUAUUAGCUAUAAAUAAAUGCAGCUGGGCAUACAUUUUUCAAAAUGCCAGGAAAACAAAUAGACCAAGAACUCAGAUGUGGGAGCGUUCACCCUCCCUUUUCUUCUGCGUGAAACUGUGCCUAUGCCUUUGUUUAGACAAGGCUAAGUGGUGGGUGCUUGGAGACACCUGCGUUCCAUCUAGGUGUUUGGCCCUGGGGAAUACACAGAAGAUUUGUCACAAGGACUGGGAGAACCUCUCUUCAUAGAAGGUUGGUCCACCCCCUGCCCCUCUGCCCACCGUUAGAACGUAGGGCGUUAUGAAGACCAGAGGAAGAAGGCAUGUGUACCACCCCCCUCUCAGGAGGCCACAGCAGACAUCACUAAUAGAUCACAGCAUCUGUCCCUCCCAGCCUGGACCUGACAUCACAAUCCUCCACCCAGCCUUAUCAGUUAGUCAGGGCUGGCAGGUGACAUGGGAACUAUUUGAGAUCCCACAGAGCCCAGCGCCCUGGGUUUAGGGGUGAGGAAACUGAGGCCCAAAGAGGCAGAGUGCCUUGUGUGAGGUCACACAGCACCAUUCAAUCUGCUCAGCUCUGCGCUCCACAGAUGUGGCUGGUGCGGGGCAGGGACCUUGCUGAGGGCUGAAGGAGAGGGGCCAGAGGGAGGUGAGGCCAGGCUGGGUCUCCUUAGACACACUGAGCCCCUGUUUCCCUGCUCUAAGCCCUGCCCACCCCUCACUGGGACAAGCUGAGGGUCCCUGCUCUUGGACACAGUGCCCCUGGCCCUCCAUCCCUGGGCCUCUGACCUUUAAGAUCAAGGCAGGGAGUAGGGAGCCUUUCAGGGUUCAUGGAGGUCACCCCCCUGCAGUGCUCUUCCCUCUUCCCCGAAGCCUUUCCGACCCCACCAGUUCUCACCAAGUGUUUCUCCCCAGAAUUGCCGCCCCUCACAAGGAGAAGUUUGUCCAUACACUGGUACCUAUUGGCCUCUUAGCACCAAGUUUGGUCCCUCUGCUAAGCCGGAAGUGCCCCUUCUGAGUGCCACAGCUUUGCCACUGCGGUGCCUCUGCCCUUUCCACCUUCCCCAGCUUCCCACCCACCCUUUAACACCCAUCACAGAUGUCACCCUGCCUUCCCCAAAGCACAUACGGGCCUCCCUCAAAAUCACCAAAACUGUGUUUCUGGGCUUUUCUCACAACCCUGAUCAGGUUGCCUGCUGUUGUCACGAGAGUGAAUGAGUGGUGUCUGGGUUGCAUCCCCUCGAUGCAGUGACUUUGGACUUGCAGUAACUACAGUACUCCUCUCCGAGGGGCAAUCCCCUCCCUCCAGAGACAACGGCCAGGCACCUCAGGACUAGUGUGGGAACUUCUACUUGUCCUCACUGAAAGCUCCCUGGCCAGGCCCCCGCUCCUGGCACAUUGCAGGUGCUGGGACAUAUCUGCUGAUGCAUACGUUACGGGGCCCUGCCCUCCAGGGGUUCCUGGCCAACCGCACUCCACUGGACUCCUCCAGGCUGGACACAGGAGGGCUCCUGUGGACUGGUUGCCUGGCCUCCAGGCACUUUCUUUCGGGGCAGUCAGUCCCUCUGGGCAACAGCUGCAUCAGGAAGCACUAACGGGGGACACUGGAGGGGCAGCUUCUCCUCCUGGGCGGCCCUGUCACAGGGCCAGCUGGACACGGUGCCCCACCUGUGCUGCUAUUCCAGCCUGGGGUGGGCCUUGCGGCUGCCAGGGACAUUCUUUCCCUGGGGGCAGGAUACAGCUGCUUCGAGAGUGGCAGGGUGAGAGUGUGAGCCUCAGCAUUUGAGUCACAUCACACCCAGACAGUCAGAUGUUGACAGAGGUAGAUGUGCCAUCACACGUGCUCAUCACACACCCACACAGAUACCCUCACCCAGUUACAAACCACACAGGGCACAGACAUCUCCCCCAGGAGUUUGGGCAAAACCAACACUGAGAGAGGCUAAAAUGGUUUCUGAUGAUGAAGGAAGAAAACAGAGCAACCAAAGACAGAAGAGGAAAAACUCUGCCUCUACCAGUGGGAAAAUCCUCAGAUCCUAUUGCUUCCAGCCCAGCUCAAACCAGGACUUUGAGGACUGUCUUUAUCGUCUCUGUACCCCAGAGCCCAAAGCCUGGAGCUCAGACUAGUUAGCCUCACCAGCAGCCCCAUGAAGUACAUGGUGGAAAAAUGUUGGAUUGGGACCCAGGAGGUCUGGGUCUCCAGGCUCAGCCAGGACCAGCUGGGCGACCUCGGAUCAGUCCCUUGACUUCUCAGCUUCCUGGUCUCUGUGCAAAGGGCAGCUCUGAUGUCUUUUCAGCUUGGAAAUUUUGAAAAAGGGGGAGGGGGCAGGGUGAGACGAGGGGGCAGUGCGGGGUGAGAACUUAGAAAGGGAAACCCUCUGUCAAGUCUGGGAAUAUGGAGCACAUCCUAGGUUGCCCCUAGAAAUCUUCUUAGAGAAAGGAGAGACCAGGCCCUCCCUCCACUGGGUUAAGAGGCCACAUCCUAUGGCAAGCCUUCUUCACCUCCACGCUCACAAGCCCAUCCCGGGUGAGCCCCCCUUCAGCGCCCUCAGCAGGCACGCCUCCGUCUGAGAACCAGACUCUGUGACAAUGAUGCGGUGAGAUAAUACGGGAAAGGGCUUAGGUGUGCACCUGGUACAGUAACGCUGGCAUCCUCGUGGGUGAUUCCUUAUACCGAUUAGUGAACGGCUCUCUUGUAUUUCCAGGGACUUGUCUGUCCCAUCCAGGGCUAUUUCCUGAGGUGAGGACAGCAGCUGUUUUGUCCACUGCUCUACCCUAAAUGCCGCAGUGCUGGGCACACAGUAGGACCCAGCCACAUCUGGAUGAGACUCGGCUACACAGGUGGAAUCAUUGCAGAGCCAGGACCAGUGUGGAGGCAGCAGAGUGGUGAUGAAACUGAGACUCAGAGAGGACAAGUGAUCAUCCCAAGGUCACCCUUCCAGGAAGUGGCAGCAUCAGGACCAAGACCCCAGCCUGAGUUUAAGUCACACCCUUCUUCAUGCUGCCAAGAUUCUCAUCCACAGAAGAGAGAACAAGAGGUUUCCCUGCUGGGGACUUCCCUGGUGGCGCCGUGAUUAAGAAUCUGCCUGCCAAUGCAGGGGACAUGGGUUCGAGCCCUGGUCCGGGAAGAUCCCACA